GAGAGUAGGCGUAGGCGGUUGCAUAUUAGCCCAGAGGUGGCUAGUUUGAGGAAAGUCCGGGCUUCCGAAAGACCAAACUUGCUGGGUAACGCCCAGUGCGAGCGAUCGCGAGGAUAGUGCCACAGAAAAAUACCGCUAAUUAGUCAUUUGUAGAGACGCGAUUAAUCGCGUCUGUGCAAUAGUCAUUUGUAAAAGACAAAUGACAAAGGACAAAAUUAGUAAGGGUGCAAAGGUGCGGUAAGAGCGCACCAGCAACAUCGAGAGGUGUUGGCUCGGUAAACCCCGGUUGGAAGCAAGGCGAAUGGAACUAUGGUUGGUCUUUUACCAGUUCCACAAUAAGAGCCGCUAGAGGCGUCUGGUAACAGCCGUCCCAGAUAGAUAACCGCCCUCUUAAUUUAAGAGAACAGAACCCGGCUUACUACCAACUCUUUCCC
rnacentral:RNase_P_RNA from 1 species